rnacentral:rRNA from 1 species
AACGAACGCUGGCGGCAGGCCUAACACAUGCAAGUCGAACGAUAAGCCACCUUCGGGUGGUGGACAGUGGCAGACGGGUGAGUAACGCGUGGGAACGUGCCUUUCGGUUCGGGAUAACCCAGGGAAACUUGGGCUAAUACCGGAUACGCCCUUCGGGGGAAAGAUUCAUUGCCGAAAGAUCGGCCCGCGUCGGAUUAGCCAGUUGGUGGGGUAAUGGCCUACCAAGGCGACGAUCCGUAGCUGGUCUGAGAGGAUGACCAGCCACACUGUGACUGAGACACGGCCCAGACUCCUACGGGAGGCAGCAGUGGGGAAUAUUGGACAAUGGGCGAAAGCCUGAUCCAGCCAUGCCGCGUGGGUGAAGAAGGCCUUAGGGUUGUAAACCCCUUUCAGCGGGGACGAUAAUGACGGUACCCGCAGAAGAAGUCCCGGCUAACUCCGUGCCAGCAGCCGCAGUAA